rnacentral:rRNA from 1 species
GAAUUCGCCCUUAGAGUUUGAUCCUGGCUCAGGACGAACGCUGGCGGCGUGCCUAACACAUGCAAGUCGAACGGAGCAUAUUGGAUUGAGGUUUCGGCCAAAUGAAUUUAUGCUUAGUGGCGAACGGGUGAGUAACGCGUGAGCAACCUGCCUUUCAGAGGGGGACAACAGUUGGAAACGACUGCUAAUACCGCAUAACACAUCGAUGGGGCAUCCUGUUGAUGUCAAAGAUUUAUCGCUGAAAGAUGGGCUCGCGUCUGAUUAGCUAGUUGGCGGGGUAACGGCCCACCAAGGCGACGAUCAGUAGCCGGACUGAGAGGUUGAACGGCCACAUUGGGACUGAGAUACGGCCCAGACUCCUACGGGAGGCAGCAGUGGGGAAUAUUGGGCAAUGGGGGAAACCCUGACCCAGCAACGCCGCGUGAAGGAAGAAGGCUUUCGGGUUGUAAACUUCUUUUACCAGGGACGAAGACGUGACGGUACCUGGAGAAAAAGCCACGGCUAACUACGUGCCAGCAGCCGCGGUAAUACGUAGGUGGCAAGCGUUGUCCGGAUUUACUGGGUGUAAAGGGCGUGUAGGCGGAGCGGCAAGUCAGAUGUGAAAUCCCGGGGCUUAACCCCGGAACUGCAUUUGAAACUGUCGCCCUUGAGUAUCGGAGAGGCAGGCGGAAUUCCUAGUGUAGCGGUGAAAUGCGUAGAUAUUAGGAGGAACACCAGUGGCGAAGGCGGCCUGCUGGACGACAACUGACGCUGAGGCGCGAAAGCGUGGGGAGCAAACAGGAUUAGAUACCCUGGUAGUCCACGCUGUAAACGAUGAAUACUAGGUGUGGGAGGACUGACCCCUUCCGUGCCGCAGUUAACACAAUAAGUAUUCCACCUGGGGAGUACGACCGCAAGGUUGAAACUCAAAGGAAUUGACGGGGGCCCGCACAAGCAGUGGAUUAUGUGGUUUAAUUCGAUGCAACGCGAAGAACCUUACCUGGUCUUGACAUCCACGGAAGUUUUCAGAGAUGAGAAUGUGCCUUCGGGAACCGUGAGACAGGUGCUGCAUGGCUGUCGUCAGCUCGUGUUGUGAAAUGUUGGGUUAAGUCCCGCAACGAGCGCAACCCUUAUCCUUUGUUGCCAGCGGUCCGGCCGGGAACUCAAAGGAGACUGCCAGUGAUAAACUGGAGGAAGGUGGGGAUGACGUCAAGUCAUCAUGGCCCUUACGACCAGGGCUACACACGUGCUACAAUGGCGCAUACAAAGAGAAGCGACCUCGCGAGAGCAAGCGGACCUCAUAAAGUGCGUCGUAGUCCGGAUUGGAGUCUGCAACUCGACUCCAUGAAGUCGGAAUCGCUAGUAAUCGUGGAUCAGAAUGCCACGGUGAAUACGUUCCCGGGCCUUGUACACACCCGCCCGUCA